rnacentral:rRNA from 1 species
AAACUCAAAGGAAUUGACGGGGACCCGCACAAGCGGUGGAUUAUGUGGAUUAAUUCGAUGCAACGCGAAAAACCUUACCUACCCUUGACAUGCCAGGAAUCCCGAAGAGAUUUGGGAGUGCCCGAAAGGGAAUCUGGACACAGGUGCUGCAUGGCUGUCGUCAGCUCGUGUCGUGAGAUGUUGGGUUAAGUCCCGCAACGAGCGCAACCCUUGCCAUUAAUUGCCAUCAUUCAGUUGGGCACUUUAAUGGGACUGCCGGUGAUAAACCGGAGGAAGGUGGGGAUGACGUCAAGUCCUCAUGGCCCUUAUGGGUAGGGCUUCACACGUAAUACAAUGGUCGGUACAGAGGGUCGCCAACCCGCGAGGGGGAGCCAAUCCCAGAAAGCCGAUCGUAGUCCGGAUUGUUCUCUGCAACUCGAGAGCAUGAAGUCGGAAUCGCUAGUAAUCGCGGAUCAGCAUGUCGCGGUGAAUACGUUCCCGGGUCUUGUACACACCGCCCGUCACACCAUGGGAGCGGGUUCUGCCAGAAGUAGCUAGUCUAACCGCAAGGAGGACGGUUACCACGGCGGGGUUCGUGACUGGGGUGAAGUCGUAACAAGGUAGCCGUAUCGGAAGGUGCGGCUGGAUCACCUCCUUUCUG